CCUACGGGAGGCAGCAGUGGGGAAUUUUGGACAAUGGGCGCAAGCCUGAUCCAGCAAUGCCGCGUGCAGGAUGAAGGCCUUCGGGUUGUAAACUGCUUUUGUACGGAACGAAACGGUUCGCUUUAAUACAGUGGGCUAAUGACGGUACCGUAAGAAUAAGCACCGGCUAACUACGUGCCAGCAGCCGCGGUAAUACGUAGGGUGCGAGCGUUAAUCGGAAUUACUGGGCGUAAAGCGUGCGCAGGCGGUUUUGUAAGACAGAUGUGAAAUCCCCGGGCUCAACCUGGGACCUGCAUUUGUGACUGCAAGGCUAGAGUACGGUAGAGGGGGAUGGAAUUCCGCGUGUAGCAGUGAAAUGCGUAGAUAUGCGGAGGAACACCGAUGGCGAAGGCAAUCCCCUGGACCUGUACUGACGCUCAUGCACGAAAGCGUGGGGAGCAAACAGGAUUAGAUACCCUGGUAGUCCACGCCCUAAACGAUGUCAACUGGUUGUUGGGUCUUCACUGACUCAGUAACGAAGCUAACGCGUGAAGUUGACCGCCUGGGGAGUACGGCCGCAAGGUUGAAACUUAAAUGAAUUGACGG
rnacentral:rRNA from 1 species